GGAGAGAGGCUAUGGCUCAGAGGCAGAGCACCCGCUUUGCACGCAGAAGGUCCCAAGUUCCAUCCCCGGCCUCUGCA
rnacentral:tRNA from 1 species